CCAGACAUGUUCUAGCCGAUUAAUUA
rnacentral:sRNA from 1 species